UUUGUUAACUUACAGAGUCUAACAACACAAUGAGUUAGAACAAAUUCAACUUAAACAGAAAAGCUGAAGUAAAAAUAUACUCGAUACGAACAUGGUGUUUAAUGCGCAUGCGCCAGAAAUACUACGUCAUGAUGACGCACUACUUCACUAGAGUUUGAAAAAUGCGCUGUUAUGUUUCUGUAAUGGCGGUGCAUGAGGAAACGGAACUGAAGCUUCCCAAACAAGAAGAGAACAAAAGGAGCGCCACGUUUGGCUGUUUGCAGAUGAGAUGUUAUACUGCAAAUAAUCAGUCAAGAUCAGUUCACAUUUGUUAUUGGAGAUACAGGACAAGCGGUGUGGAAUCACAGACCUGUAUUGAUGAG